AACUGAUACUACCUGCGGGAACCUGCGGAAGGAUCAUUAAAGAGAAAACUGCCCUUUGGGUAGAUCUCCCACCCUUUGUUUAUAUUACCUUUGUUGCUUUGGCAGGCCCGUCUCUGACCACCGGCUCUUUGGCUGGUCUGUGCCUGCCAAGAGACCUCCAACUCUUGAUUUGAAGUUGUCUGAGUCUUAUAUAAUAGUAAAAACUUUCAGCAACGGAUCUCUAGAUCGGAAGAGCACACG
rnacentral:misc_RNA from 1 species